rnacentral:rRNA from 1 species
GACGAACGCUGGCGGCGUGCUUAACACAUGCAAGUCGAACGGAAAGGCCCUGCUCUUGUGGGGUGCUCGAGUGGCGAACGGGUGAGUAACACGUGAGUAACCUGCCCUUGACUUUGGGAUAACUUCAGGAAACUGGGGCUAAUACCGGAUAGGAGCUCCUGCUGCAUGGUGGGGGUUGGAAAGUUUCGGCGGUUGGGGAUGGACUCGCGGCUUAUCAGCUUGUUGGUGGGGUAGUGGCUUACCAAGGCUUUGACGGGUAGCCGGCCUGAGAGGGUGACCGGCCACAUUGGGACUGAGAUACGGACCAGACUCCUACGGGAGGCAGCAGUGGGGAAUAUUGCACAAUGGGCGGAAGCCUGAUGCAGCAACGCCGCGUGCGGGAUGACGGCCUUCGGGUUGUAAACCGCUUUCGCCUGUGACGAAGCGUGAGUGACGGUAAUGGGUAAAGAAGCACCGGCUAACUACGUG